UACGGAGGGUGCGAGCGUUAAUCGGAAUUACUGGGCGUAAAGCGUACGCAGGCGGUUUGUUAAGCGAGAUGUGAAAGCCCCGGGCUCAACCUGGGAACUGCAUUUCGAACUGGCAAACUAGAGUGUGAUAGAGGGUGGUAGAAUUUCAGGUGUAGCGGUGAAAUGCGUAGAGAUCUGAAGGAGUACCGAUGGCGAAGGCAGCCACCUGGGUCAACACUGACGCUCAUGUACGAAAGCGUGGGGAGCAAACAGG
rnacentral:rRNA from 1 species